GCUUCAGGAUUGGGUUGCAUU
rnacentral:miRNA from 1 species